CAGUCGAGAAUCUUUCACAAUGGGCGAAAGCCUGAUGGAGCGACGCCGCGUGGAGGUUAAGGUCUUCGGAUUGUAAACUCCUGUCAUGCGAGAACAAAGCCCGCAAGGGUCUGAUAGUAUCGCAAGAGGAAGAGACGGCUAACUCUGUGCCAGCAGCCGCGGUAAUACAGAGGUCUCAAGCGUUGUUCGGAAUUACUGGGCGUAAAGGGUGCGCAGGCCGCGCGGGCAGUCAAAUGUGUAAUCCAGGGGCUCAACCCCUGAACUGCGCUUGAUACUUCCGCGCUCGAGCUUUGGAGAGGAGUCUGGAAUUCUCGGUGUAGCAGUGAAAUGCGUGGAUAUCGAGAAGAACACUUAGGGCGUAGGCAAGACUCUGGACAAAUGCUGACGCUCAUGCACGAAGGCUAGGGUAGCGAACGGGAUUAGA
rnacentral:rRNA from 1 species